rnacentral:rRNA from 1 species
GAUGAACGCUGGCGGCGUGCCUAACACAUGCAAGUCGAACGGUACCAGGCUUUCACUGUCUGUUCCUCGCAACUAGUUUCUAGUUGAUUUCGAGGAAAAGAGAGUGAAAGCGCUGGCGAGUGGCGGACGGCUGAGUAACGCGUGGGAACGUGCCCCAAAGUGAGGAAUAAGCACCGGAAACGGUGUCUAAUGCCGCAUAUGAUCUUUGGAUUAAAGUAUUUAUACGCUUUGGGAGCGGCCCGCGUCGGAUUAGGUUGUUGGUGAGGUAAUGGCUCACCAAGCCGACGAUCCGUAGCUGGUCUGAGAGGAUGACCAGCCAGACUGGAACUGAGACACGGUCCAGACUCCUACGGGAGGCAGCAGUGAGGAAUCUUCCACAAUGGGCGAAAGCCUGAUGGAGCAACGCCGCGUGCAGGAUGAAGGCCUUCGGGUCGUAAACUGCUUUAUUUGUUGAAGAAUAUGACGGUAACAAAUAGAAUAAGGAAUCGGCUAACUACG